rnacentral:rRNA from 1 species
GACGAACGCUGGCGGCGCGCCUAACACAUGCAAGUCGAACGGAGAUUACAGGCGGAAGUUUUCGGAUGGAAGCUUGUAAACUUAGUGGCGGACGGGUGAGUAACACGUGAGCAACCUGCCUAUCAGAGGGGGAUAACGAUUGGAAACGAUCGCUAAUACCGCAUGACAUAGCGGAAUCGCAUGGUUCUGUUAUCAAAGAUUUUAUCGCUGAUAGAUGGGCUCGCGUACGAUUAGAUAGUUGGUGGGGUAACGGCCUACAAAGUCGACGAUCGGUAGCCGGACGGAGGGGUCGAACGGCCACAGUGGGACUGGGCCACGGCCCAGACGCCUACGGGAGGCAGCAGUGGGGGAUAUUGCACAAUGGGGGAAACCCUGAUGCAGCGACGCCGCGUGAGGGAAGACGGUCCUCUGGAUUGUAAACCUCUGUCUUCGGGGACGAAACGAGACGGUACCCGAGGAGGAAGCCACGGCUAACUACGUGCCAGCAGCCGCCGCCG